UACGGGGGGGGCAAGCGUUGUUCGGAAUUACUGGGCGUAAAGGGCGCGUAGGCGGCCUGUUAAGUCACACGUGAAAUCCCUCGGCUCAACCGGGGAACUGCGUGUGAUACUGGCGGGCUUGAAUUCGGGAGAGGGAUGUGGAAUUCCAGGUGUAGCGGUGAAAUGCGUAGAUAUCUGGAGGAACACCAGUGGCUAAGGCGGCAUCCUGGACCGAGAUUGACGCUGAGGCGCGAAAGCUAGGGGAGCAAACGGG
rnacentral:rRNA from 1 species